UACGAAGGGGGCUAGCGUUGCUCGGAAUUACUGGGCGUAAAGGGAGCGUAGGCGGACAUUUUAAGUCAGAGGUGAAAUCCCGGAGCUUAACUUCGGAACUGCCUUUGAUACUGGGUGUCUUGAGUGUGAGAGAGGUAUGUGGAACUCCGAGUGUAGAGGUGAAAUUCGUAGAUAUUCGGAAGGAAACACCAGUGCGAAGGCGACAUACUGGCUCAUUACUGACGCUGGAGGCUCGAAAGCGUGGGGAGC
rnacentral:rRNA from 1 species